AUUGAACGCUGGCGGUAGGCCUAACACAUGCAAGUCGAACGAGUGGGGGACGGGUUAGUAAUGCUUGGGAAUCUAGCUUAUGGAUGGGGAUAACUACUGGAAACUGUAGCUAAUACCGCAUACCAUCAGAUGUACCCAUAUGGGAUUAUCUUGUAGUGGGGGUAACGGCUCACCUAGGCGACGAUCCCUAUCUGGUCUGAGAGGAGGAACAGCCACACUGGGACUUAGACACGGCCCAGACGCCUACGGGAGGCAGCAGUGGGGAAUAUUGCACAAGGGGCGAAAGCCUGAUGCAGCCAUGCCGCGUGUAUGAAGAAGGCCUUCGGGUUGUAAAGUACUUUGAGUCGGGAGGCGUUACCGACAGAAGAAGCACCGGCUAACUCCGUGCCAGCAGCCGCGGUAAUAC
rnacentral:rRNA from 1 species